AUGUCUGGACUCCUUCUGUCCCCUCUCUUCGCAAGGUAUGAAGCAGGUGGGAAAAAUCCUACCAAACUGUUAUGUACAGAUUCUGGGAAUUGCAAAAUGAGUCCAGGCUACCUCAUGUCCUCAUUCUCUUUCAACAGCCUUGUAUCUCUGGACCUUGACUUUCUCCUGGAGGGAAAUACAGAAGAAGAAAUGGCUCCUGUGUUGUUUACAACCAGGCCCCAGCAUCUCUGCCAGGAACCAGAGCCCCCAAUUCUUCAUCCCUAGGAAACUGCCCCAUCUUGGUGGAUGAUGGACUGUAAGUAAUGCUUCCUCCUCUAGUGCCUUCCCUCACUGUGACCCAGGGAUAGGCCCAGUGACUUGGAGAUGAGAUGCUUUCUGCCUUAAGCCUCAUACCUCUAUCUCUGGCCUUAUUCCAAAGGACUUAGAGCCCUUGAUUUCAUCAGACCUACUUCAUCUAUCUCUGUAGUGCAUUUAAUCAACUCCCUUUUCUGAGGAGGAGGGUCCAGGGUGACCAAGAAUGUGUUUGUUUCAGGAAUCAGUGACAUUCAAGGAUGUGGCUGUGAACUUCACUCAAGAGGAGUGGCAGCAACUGAACCCAGCUCAGAGGGACCUGUAUAGAGAUGUAAUGUUGGAGAACUAUAGAAACCUCAUCUCACUGGGUAAGGAUAGUUUCAUUCGGCAAUUCAGAAUCUGUACAGCAUAAAGAAAAUAUUCUUUUAGCAUAAAUGGAAAUAAUUAAAUUACUUUUUUAAAUUAAGUGCUUAUAUCAGAUCUUAGCUGGUAUACUAUACUACAAAGUGGUAAUCAUCAAAACAAUCUACUGAAUGAGAAAAGAGUGGUUUAACAAUGGAAUAGAUUAGGUACAUGAUAUACAUAAGUAAAUGACCACAGUAACCUAGUAUUUGAUAAAUUCAAACAUACAAGCUAUUGGGGCAAGAACUCACUGUUCAGCAAAAUUGCUGGAAAAAUUGAGUUUGGCAAAAACUAGGCAUAGACCAACAUCUCACACCAUAUACCAAGAUAAGCUCAAAAGGCAUACAUGAUUUAGACAUAAAGGAUGAUAUCAUAAGCACAUUAAUGGAGUAUGGAAAAAUUACCUUUCAGGUCUAUGGAUAAGGGAAGAGUUUAUGCCCAAACAAGAGAUAGAGAGGAUCCCAGGAGGUAAAAUGGGUAAUUUUGAUUUCAUUAAAAGGAUUUUGCACAAACAAAGCCAGUACAGCCAAAAUUAGAAGGAAAGCAGGAAGCUGGGAGAAAAAAUUUUAUUGGAAGUUUCUCUGAUAUAGAGCCAGAGCUCUAUUCACUGCACCACCUAGCUACCCCUAAUUGCCAUAAUUUUUGAAAACACUUUUAUGCCAUGUUGAAGCAUCAAAAUGAGAGUUUAGUGGUGGAGUUUAAUGUCCAUAGGAAAUGCUUUGAAAUUAGUAACUGCUGUCUAACAGUGAAGGUGAGCGUAAGGUCCUAUUGAUUUUACAAGGAACAGUCAGUAAUGGUGUUCUAGAGAACAUGAGGACCUCAGAAGAUCUGAGUAUUUCAGAAUAAUAACAGGAAGAUUAGGUAUAGGUCAGAAAAGCACAUUAAUUUAGAAGUUGAGGGAAAGACUAGAAAGGGGUCAGAGCAGGCAAGAGCCACAUGUGGAAUUAAAAAAUGGUAUGUCUAGAAGUUUCUCAAAUGUAUGGGGAAUUGAACCAAAUUUACAAAAAUAAGAGCCAUUCUCUAACUGAUAAAUGGUCACAAAGGAUAUGAACAAGCAGUUUUCAGAAGAAGAAAUCAAAGCUAUGACUUCUAGGGCUUUAUCCCAAAGAGAUCAUACAAAUGGGAAAAGGACCCACAUGUACAAAAAUAUUCAUAGCAGCUCUUUUUGUGGUGGCAAAGAAUUGGAAAUUGGGAGGAUGCCCAUCAAUUGGGGAAUGGCUGAAACAAGUUAUGGUAUAUGAAUGUAAUGGAAUACUAUUGUGCUAUAAGAAAUGAUGAAUAGGCUGACUUCAGAAAAACCUGGAAAGACUUGUAUGGUCUGAUGCCGAGUGAAAUGAGCAGAACCAAGAGAACGUUGUACACAAUAACAGCCACGUUGUGCGAUGACUAAUGUUGAUAAACUUACCCCUUCCCAGGAAUACAAGGAUCUAAGACAUCUCCAAAGGCCUCAUGAUGGAAAAUGCUAUCCACAUCCAAAGAAAGAAUUGUGGAGUUUGAAUGCAGAUCGAAGCAUACUAUUUGUUAUUUUUUUUUCUUCUGUUGACUUUUGUUUCCUCUUUCUGGUGCUUCCUCCUAUUGGUUCUAAUUCUGACUUACAACAUCACUAAUGUGAAAAUAUGUUUAUUAGGAAUGUAUAUGUAUAGCCUAUAUCAGAUUGUGUGCCGUCUUGGGGAGGGAUGUGGGGAGGGAGGGGGAAUUUUAAACUUAAAAGCAUAUGGAAGUGAUUGUUGAUAAAUCAAAAUAAAUUAAUUUUAAAAAAAGAAUUCA
rnacentral:lncRNA from 1 species